ACUAUUUUGACAGAUAAAAUGUGAUGAUUUUAGAAGUCAUUUAUAUAUAAUUAAGUUAUAUAGAUAGUA
rnacentral:tRNA from 2 species